rnacentral:tRNA from 1 species
GCGGGUGUGGCGGAAUUGGCAGACGCACCAGACUUAGGAUCUGGCGCCUUUGGCGUGGGGGUUCGACUCCCUUCACNNNN